rnacentral:lncRNA from 1 species
CAAUCUUGAAAGUGCGGGUGAUGUUGAUCUGUCCAUAGUGGUAGGAUCCUUGAGGGUUGGGGCGGGCAGCACUAGCAGUAAGGUUCCAUCUGAAGGAGCGAAACUGGUUAAUGGACCAAGCAAUGCCUUGGGUGUUUUCUGGUGGAGGUGCUGGGAGGUCAGAAGAUGCUGGUCCCUUGCCAUUGGCAUAUCGAAUGAUAGCAACGGAAGAGAGUUGCGCUUGCUUCAGGAACCUACUAGAAACAAUCAUGUAAUAGUCCUUGGGCUCUUGAUCAGCAGUGACCAACACCGAAAGGCAUUGACCAACAUGGAGGUCAAGGGACUCAUAGACGUUCUGCACAGUGUGGGAUCCCUCCAUUUCCACCAACUUCAUGGGGUGGCCUUGAAUCCUGACGUUGACUGAUGUCCUCAUGCCAGCAUUGCACAUCCUGUACCUAUAGGUCUUGCCAGCCUCCAUGGUGAAGAGUGGCUCAGCAACCUUGUCACCGACCUUGAGGGAUUUUCCAUUGAUAUGGAUGCCAUCGGGUCUGCCAAUUGUGCGUCCCCCAUCUAAGAUCUUCUUCAAGGACUUGUAACCCUUGUUGUACCAAUCACCCACAAAUACGUUAUAUUCAUCGGCAGGGUUAUCAAAAGGAACGGGAAUAAGGGCACGGCUAUGAACAUUGAUGGCACCAAAACCACCAGCAGCACGAUGCAAGUCUGUUGUGGGGAAGUAGAAGAAGCUACCGAUCUGGUCCUUGACUUGGAAGCGGUAGGUGAAGUUUGUACCGGGCAUGAUCGGGCACAUGGUUCCUGGGGUACCAUCUUGCCACGAGUUCUUCCUUUGUUGGACACCGUUCCAGGUUAAGAGCAAGGGGUCGUCUAGAUUGUUGAAGACAUUGACAACUAUGUUGUUAUUGGAGGUGCAGUUGAUCCUGGGCCCUGGAAGCUUCCCGUUUAUGAGGAUGCCCUGUAGUGGCACACCCAAUGGAGCAAUAGUCCCGUAGGUGACAUUCCACUCAAAGAAGAGGUAAGGAUCCUCAGC